ensembl:lncRNA
UUUUUUUUUUUUUUUUUUUGAGAUGGAGUUUCGCUUUUGUUGCCCAGACUGGAGUGCAAAGGCAUGAUCUCGGCUCACUGCAACCUCUGCCCCCUGGGUUCAAGUGAUUCUCCUGCUUCAGCCUCUCGAGUAGCUGGGAUUACAGGUAUGCUCCACCAGGCCUGGCUAAUUUUGUAUUUUUAGUAGAGAUGGGGUUUCUCCAUGUUGGUCAGGCUGGUCUCGAACUCCCGACCUCAGGUUAUCUGCUGCCGUGGCCUCCCAAAGUGCUGGGAUUACAGGCGUGAGCCAAUGCACCUGGCUGCACCUACUUUUCCACAGCUGAACUCAAGAACCAUUCUAAUUUGUGGAAACACAGAAAUACACAUACAUGGUUUAGCCUGUGUUAUGGGCUGAACUGCAUGCUCCAAAUAUUCAUCUGUUGAAGCCUGAACCCCCAGUGUGGCCAAAUUUGCAGACAGGGCCUUAAGGAGGUAACUAAAGUUAAAUGAAGUCACAGGAGUGGGGCCCUGAUGCAAUCUGAUGGGAGUCCCCAUAAGAGGAGAUUUAGACACAGACACACACAGAGGGCUGGCCCUGUGAGGACAGGUGGAGAAGGUGGUGUCCACACACCCGAGAGAGGCCUCAAGAGGAACCACCUUGGUGAUGCCGUGAUCUCAGACGUCCAGCAUCCAGGGCUGCGAGAGGACAGACUCCCGUUGUGUGGCCGCCCCGUCCAGGGUGCUUUGCUACGAUGCCCUGAGCUGAGUAAUACAUCCAGGUAAAAAGAAGCAUGAGAGAUACCCACUCUGUAGGGCAAGUCUGAGAAUCACUCUGCUUCAACCAAUUAUGUGUUAGAAAUAAAUGAAAUUCAGAAAAAAAGAACUGAAAUUUUAAUUAGAAAAAAUGAUAAAUUUUGUCAUUUUCUAAAUUGUUUCUAUCAAAUGCUGUGCACAAAUUGCUAAACAAAUUGAAACUCAUUUGAAAACAAACCUACGUCCCUUUUACCAACAAAAGGCAGUUCUCCUGAAAGAAUUAAGAACAGUAUUUCUUUUAUCCUGAUAAACAUGAUGAACCCCAUUGCUAGGCCUGACGGCAGCUUUGCAACCUCUCCCCUGCUCAGGUGGCACAGAGAGGAGUGUCCCAGUGACAGCAGAGGGCACCAGCAGUCCUGUUACUCAUGCAGCCAAGCUCUGGGGCCAUGCCUCUUCCCCCAGCUCUAGUGCAGCCAGUCCCCCAGAGGCACCAGCAGCCCCCACACACGAGUGCACCUCCGCAGCACAAAGCACACUCCUCCAUCCACAACCCCAAGGUCCUCCCAAGGCUAAGUAACUAAGUCUCAAACUCGAGAAAGAGCUGACUUGUAAAUAAACAAAUGGAUGGUGUGCUAGUAAUGAAAAGGUGAACUAUCCUUGAAAGGUGGCUUAAUCUGAAUGGAGUGUGUGUGGAUGCCACACUUGCAUUCUAAUGUGAUGAGAACCCUUUACACGGAAUCUCCCUUUGCAAUUUUUAAGUGCACCAUGCAUCAUUAUGGGUUGCGCACACCACAUGGUGCAGCUGACCUCCCGUGGCAUGGCUGACCUCCCGUGGCACAGUUGGCCUCCCAUGGCACAGCUGACCUCCCAUGGCACAGCUGACCUCCUGUGGCACGGCUGACCUCCUGUGGCACAGUUGGCCUCCUGUGGCACGGCUGACCUCCCGUGGCACAGCUGACCUCCCGUGGCACAGCUGACCUCCUGUGGCACAGUUGGCCUCCCAAGGCGUGGCUGACCUCCUGUGGCACAGCUGACCUUUUGUGGCACAGCUGACCUUUUGUGGCACAGCUGGCCUCCAUGGCAUGGCUGACCUCCCAUGGCAUG